rnacentral:rRNA from 1 species
GAUGAACGCUGGCGGCGUGCCUAAUACACGCAAGUCGAGCGAAUGGAUUAAGAGCUUGCUCUUAUGAAGUUAGCGGCGGACGGGUGAGUAACACGUGGGUAACCUGCCCAUAAGACUGGGAUAACUCCGGGAAACCGGGGCUAAUACCGGAUAACAUUUUGAACCGCAUGGUUCGAAAUUGAAAGGCGGCUUCGGCUGUCACUUAUGGAUGGACCCGCGUCGCAUUAGCUAGUUGGUGAGGUAACGGCUCACCAAGGCAACGAUGCGUAGCCGACCUGAGAGGGUGCUGGGCCACACUGGGACUGAGACACGGCCCAGACUCCUACGGGAGGCAGCAGUAGGGAAUCUUCCGCAAUGGACGAAAGUCUGACGGAGCAACGCCGCGUGAGUGAUGAAGGCUUUCGGGUCGUAAAACUCUGUUGUUAGGGAAGAACAAGUGCUAGUUGAAUAAGCUGGCACCUUGACGGUACCUAACCAGAAAGCCACGGCUAACUACGUGCCAGCCGCCGCAGUAA